rnacentral:tRNA from 1 species
GCGGUUGUAGCUUAGCGGUUAAAGCGCCUGCCUGUCACGCAGGAGAUCGAGGGUUCAAUUCCCUCCAGCCGCG